GCCCUCGUGGACCAUGGUGGUCGUCUGGUUUAAUUUGGCCAUGAAGCUGCUGCCAGAUGGCGAGGGUUCGAUUCCCUCCGAGGGUA